rnacentral:rRNA from 1 species
AGCAGCCGCGGUAAUUCCAGCUCCAAUAGCGUAUAUUAAAGUUGUUGCAGUUAAAAAGCUCGUAGUUGAAUUUCGGGAUCAGAAGGUCGGUCGUGCCAAUGGUAUGCACUGGCCUUUCUGAUUCCUCCCUCUUGAUGAGCCGUAAUGUCAUUAAUUUGGUGUUGCGGGGAAUCAGGACUGUUACUUUGAAAAAAUUAGAGUGUUUAAAGCAGGCAAGCGCUUGAAUACAUUAGCAUGGAAUAAUGAAAUAGGACGUUCGAUCCUAUUUUGUUGGUUUCUAGGAUUGACGUAAUGAUUAAUAGGGAUAGUUGGGGGCAUUAGUAUUCAAUUGUCAGAGGUGAAAUUCUUGGAUUUAUUGAAGACUAACUACUGCGAAAGCAUUUGCCAAGGAUGUUUUCAUUAAUCAAGAACGAAAGUUAGGGGAUCGAAGACGAUCAGAUACCGUCGUAGUCUUAACCAUAAACUAUGCCGACUAGGGAUCGGAUGAUGUUAAUUUUUAAUGACUCAUUC